rnacentral:rRNA from 1 species
AUUGAACGCUGGCGGCAGGCCUAACACAUGCAAGUCGAGCGGAUGACGGGAGCUUGCUCCUUGAUUCAGCGGCGGACGGGUGAGUAAUGCCUAGGAAUCUGCCUGGUAGUGGGGGACAACGUUUCGAAAGGAACGCUAAUACCGCAUACGUCCUACGGGAGAAAGCAGGGGACCUUCGGGCCUUGCGCUAUCAGAUGAGCUUUGGUCGGAUUAGCUAGUAGGUGAGGUAAUGGCUCACCUAGGCGACGAUCCGUAACUGGUCUGAGAGGAUGAUCAGUCACACUGGAACUGAGACACGGUCCAGACUCCUACGGGAGGCAGCAGUGGGGAAUAUUGGACAAUGGGCGAAAGCCUGAUCCAGCCAUGCCGCGUGUGUGAAGAAGGUCUUCGGAUUGUAAAGCACUUUAAGUUGGGAGGAAGGGCAGUAAGCUAAUACCUUGCUGUUUUGACGUUACAGACAGAAUAAGCACCGGCUAACUCUGUGCCAGCCGCCGCGGUAACAC